AGUUUGCGGCACAGAAUCUUUAAAAUACGUCAGAGUUUUACACACCAGUCUGUUAUUGCGGGCGACAUGUCCCCGCCCCGAAACGUGAUGCUGAAACGAAACGAACUGUGAUUGGUUGUUUGACAUGUCAGUCAAAUGGCCUCAUGGGCGGGCUUUGGCCAAUGAAAGCUGCCAUGGAUUCCAGACCUUCAGCCGGGUUGUUGGAGGAACGGAGUGGGGCGUCAUGGCGAAGGAAAGACGCCGUGGCGGGUUUGGCGAUGACUGUGGUGUGAAUGAAGAGAAUGACGGAAGUAGCAUAGAAGAAGAAGAUGAUUUUGCAGAUUUGAAUUGUGGAGAGUGGAAUCAGGUAGAGCUGACAUCUCAGAAACGGAAAGACAGAGGCUCAGAUUCGGAAGAAAUCGGGGGAGAAGGAGGAAGGAGUAAAACAAUGCGGACGGAGGAUGAGUACAAGGUUAUGUUUACAUUCGCAACAAUGGGAGAAAUGAGUAAUCCCAUGCGAUUAACCAAGGUUCUCAAAAAAGCAUUGGGAAACAUUAAAUCUGCAAAAUACCUAUCAAACAAUCGAGUGCUUGUGUUCUGUUUGAACAAAAAGCAACAAGAGAUGGCUAUUAAGAUAAAAGAAUUGGGAGGAAUAGGAGUGAAAUGCAAUGUGCCAGGUGAAGAGAACGGAAUUAAAGGGGUGAUAUAUGGGGUUCCAUUGUCACUAACUGAUGAGGUACUAAGAAAUCAGAUUACAGGCAUAAAGGUAACAGAGGUUAAACGGUUGACAUCAAAUAGGAAUGGGAAAAGAGAAAUGAGUACAACUGUAGUGAUAGGUAUGAAUGAGAAAAUUCUACCAGUAAAUGUUAAAAUCGGAUUCAUGAGCUACCCUGUGCGCCCUUACAUAAAGCCUGCAUUGAGAUGCUUCAAUUGUCAACGGUUAGGACAUGUGGCAGAAGUAUGUAAAGGAAAGAAAAGAUGUUGCAAAUGUGGAGGGGAACAUGACUAUGGAGAAUGUGGAGAUAUAGUUGGACCUAAAUGUUGUAAUUGUGGAGGCUCUCAUAGUGCUGCAUAUCUUGGGUGUAUAGCACAAAAACAAGCAAUGGAAGCAAUGAAGUAUAAAUCAGUUCACAAUGUAUCUUAUGCACAAGCAGUGAAGAAAAUCCAAAAUGAUCAAGGAAACAAAAUAACUGAUGGAAACAUCAAUGAACGGGAAAUUACAAGCAAAGGGACAGACAGGAAUAUAAAUAAGGAAGAUGCAAAUGUGCUUAUAGUCAGUAAAGUAAGUUUCAUUGCAUUUAUUGCUGAAGUAAUUAACUGUACAGCGCAAACAAACAAAAGGACUGAAAAACUGAAAAUAAUAAUUUCUGCAGCUUCACGUCAUCUGGCUAUAACUGAUGUAACAGUUGAGAAAAUUCAAGCUCUUUUAGGUCAGUCUGAGAAUAAUGCCAAUUCUCAGGAGGCACCAGACAAGCAAAAGCUAAACAAAUAAAAUGCCCUUUAGGAUCGUACAAUGGAAUGCUAGGAGUUUAUCUGCAAAUGGCCAAGAGUUUAAAAAAAUGAUCCAUGAGCUAAUAAAUCUCCCAGAUGUUAUAUGUGUUCAGGAGACUUGGCUUAAACCGCAGUUGGACUUUGUCAUUCCAGGGUAUGUAUCCGUUAGGAAAGAUAGAACACAAACAGCUGGUGGGGGUUGUGCAAUAUUUGUGAAGAAAGGGGUUGCAUAUAGAGAAGUGAAUAUAGAUACACAAGAGAGAAGCAUUAAGGUGGUGGUUUAGACUNNNNNNNNNNNNNNNNNNNNNNNNNNNNNNN
ensembl:lncRNA